GGAAGCGUGGCAUAGUGGUUCGAGUGUUGGACUACGACUCUGGAGACCAGGGUUUGAUUCCCAGCCCAACCA